rnacentral:rRNA from 1 species
GAGUUUGAUCCUGGCUCAGGAUGAACGCUAGCGGCAGGCUUAACACAUGCAAGUCGAACGGUAACAGGGAAAGCUUGCUUUUUGCUGACGAGUGGCGAACGGGUGCGUAACACGUAUGCAACCUACCUUUAACUGAGGGAUAGCCCAAAGAAAUCGGAAUUAAUACCCCAUAAUACUUUGAGAUCGCAUGUUUUGAUAUUUAAAGUUUGGUGGUUACAGAUAGACAUGCGUGAUAUUAGUUUGUUGGUGAGGUAAUGGCUCACCAAGACUACGAUAUCUAGGGGGUCUGAGAGGAUGAUCCCCCACACUGGUACUGAGACACGGACCAGACUCCUACGGGAGGCAGCAGUGAGGAAUAUUGGGCAAUGGACGAAAGUCUGACCCAGCCAUACCGCGUGCAGAUUGAAGGUCCUCGAGAUUGUAAACUACUUUUAUUUGGGAAGAAACCUUUUUACGUGUAAAAAGCUGACGGUACCAAACGAAUAAGCACCGGCUAACUCCGUGCCAGCAGCCGCGGUAAUACGGAGGGUGCAAGCGUUAUCCGGAUUUAUUGGGUUUAAAGGGUCCGUAGGCGGAAAAUUAAGUCAGUGGGGAAAGCCUGCAGCUCAACUGCAGAAUUGCCAUUGAAACUGAAUUUCUUGAAUCUGAUUGAAGUAGGCGGAACAUGACAUGUAGCGGUGAAAUGCUUAGAUAUGUCAUAGAACACCGAUAGCGAAGGCAGCUUACUAAGUCAGUAUUGACACUGAGGCACGAAAGCGUGGGGAGCGAACAGGAUUAGAUACCCUGGUAGUCCACGCUGUAAACGAUGAUUACUCGCUAUUGGCGAUACACUGUCAGUGGCUUAGCGAAAGUGAUAAGUAAUCCACCUGGGGAGUACGAUCGCAAGGUUGAAACUCAAAGGAAUUGACGGGGGCGGCUUAAAUGCAGAUUGACAGAUUGGGAAACCGAUUUUUCUUCGGACAAUUUGCAAGGUGCUGCAUGGUUGUCGUCAGCUCGUGCCGUGAGGUGUCGGGUUAAGUCCCAUAACGAGCGCAACCCCUAUUCUUAGUUGCCAGCGGUUCGGCCGGGGACUCUAAGGAAACUGCCAGCGCAAGCUGUGAGGAAGGUGGGGAUGACGUCAAAUCAUCACGGCCCUUACGUCCUGGGCUACACACGUGCUACAAUGGUAGGUACAAAGGGCAGCCACUUGGUGACAAGGAGCUAAUCUCUAAAACCUAUCUCAGUUCGGAUUGGAGUCUGAAACUCGACUCUAUGAAGCUGGAAUCGCUAGUAAUCGCGCAUCAGCCAUGGCGCGGUGAAUACGUUCCCGGGCCUUGUACACACCGCCCGUCAAACAAUGGAAGCUGGGAGUACCUGAAGUCGGUAACCAUAUAGGAGCUGCCUAGGGUAAAACUAGUGACUGGGGCUAAGUCGUAACAAGGUAGCCGUACCGGAAGGUGUGGCUGAAUCACCUCCUUU